rnacentral:rRNA from 1 species
AAGUCGUAACAAGGUCUCCGUAGGUGAACCUGCGGAGGGAUCAUUACCAGAGAUGGCGGGCCCUCGCGCCCCCGUCCCCAACCCUUUGUUGACCAAAAACCUUUUUGCCUCGGGGGCAGAGUGGCCGUCAGGCCGCCGCCCCCGGAGGACCACCAAACUCUGUCUCUGUACGUCGGAGUCUUUUGAUAAAUGAAUCAAAACUUUCAACAACGGAUCUCUUGGUUCUGGCAUCGAUGAAGAACGCAGCGAAAUGCGAUAAGUAAUGUGAAUUGCAGAAUUCAGUGAAUCAUCGAAUCUUUGAACGCACAUUGCGCCCUUUGGCAUUCCGAGGGGCAUGCCCGUUCGAGCGUCAUUAAAUCCACUCAAGCCUGGCUUGGUAUUGGGCGCCGGGGACCUCCUCGCGCCUCGAUUUCGCCGGCUGGCCGUCGUUUGACUUAGCGUUGUGACACAUGUCGCUAACGACGAAGGCGGACCAUGCCGUUAAACCCCCUUGGGCGUCGACAGAUGCUCAGUAAAGGUUGACCUCGGAUCGGGUAGGAAUACCCGCUGAACUUAA